rnacentral:rRNA from 1 species
GGAAAAAGAAAAUAUUUUAGUUGUACCUUUUGUAUCAGGGGGAUUUAAAAGCGUAAAAAGAGUUUGAUCGAUUUAAGUGAAUCUUCUGUAAAGACGUUUAGUUGCAGUUAAAUGGGUAUAAUUUUUAAGUGGUGAAACGUUUUCGGCGCUUAUGGUAUCUAAUUGCUGUUAAAUUCGAUAGGUUAAUCUUUCGGUUAUUUACGAAGCACUAGUAAUCAAAAAAAAUUAGGCUUUAAAUUAGCCAUAUUAGUAUGUUGUUUAAAACAAUUUUAAAAGUAGGGUAGAUGGUAUAGUUAUGUCAGUUAUAUUUAUAAUUACUAAUAAGUAUAUAUAAUGAAUUUAUUGAAUAAUAAGUGGAGCUUAAAAAAAACUCGAAAAAGGUUGGAAAGUUUAACAAAAACAUUUCUAUUUGCGGUAACUAUAGUAAGGCCUGCCCGGUGCGUAGUUAACGGCUGCGGUAUUUUGACUGUGCUAAGGUAGCAUAAUCAUUUGCUUUUUAAUUGGUAGCUGGAAUGAAAGGUUAAACCAAUUUAUUUAGUUUGUUAAACUAGCUAGUAAGUUAAAGUCAAAGUAAGAAUUCUUUGAUUUUCUAGGGGACGAUAAGACCCUAGAAGCUUAACAAAAUGGUUGUUUAUUGGUGUAAAUAAUAAAUUUGCUUUACUGGGGCGGUACUAGUGUGCUAACUACUAUAUUUUUGGGGGAUCCUUUAGAUGAAGAAAAAACGGGUAAGUUACUCUAGGGAUAACAGUGCAAUAUUUUUGAAGAGGUCUUAUCGAUAAAAAUGUUUGCAACCUCGAUGUUGAAUUAAAAUAUCUACGUAGAGCAGGAGAUACGGAUAGAAGGUUGUCAACC